rnacentral:rRNA from 1 species
UACGGGGGGGGCAAGCGUUGUUCGGAAUUACUGGGCGUAAAGGGCUCGUAGGCGGCCAACUAAGUCAGACGUGAAAUCCCUCGGCUUAACCGGGGAACUGCAUCUGAUACUGGAUGGCUUGAGAUUGGGAGAGGGAUGCGGAAUUCCAGGCGUAGCGGUGAAAUGCGUAGAUAUCUGGAGGAACACCGGUGGCGAAGGCGGCAUCCUGGACCAACACUGACGCUGAGGAGCGAAAGCCAGGGGAGCAAACGGG